GAGGGAUUGGACCCAGGUCUCUUACAUUGCAGACAGAUUAUUUAUUUUUUUUUUUAACCAUCUGAGCCUCCAGGGAAUCCCCUUCAGCUGCAAGAAUUUCCCCCCACCCCUUCCUCCUCUCCACCUUCUUCAUGGCACCAGUUUCCACACACUUCAAAGCAUGAAGUCAGGAAACCAUGGAAAAUCACAGGAGACCAGUUCUCUGACUUCAAAGCUGAAGACACGGCACAAACUGGCUGGUCAUAUUCUUCGUUUUACAAACCAUGGUGGUUGGUAUAGAGGUGAGCACGUGUCCUAAGCUGAGCUUAUCAGAAUUCCUUCUUGUUUAUUCUAUUUUAUUUUUCUUUCUUUCUCUUCCUUCCUUCCUCC
rnacentral:lncRNA from 1 species